CAGUAGCCGCGGUAAUACGAAGGGUGCAAGCGUUAAUCGGAAUUACUGGGCGUAAAGCGUGCGUAGGCGGUGAGUUAAGUCUGCUGUGAAAUCCCCGGGCUCAACCUGGGAAUGGCAGUGGAUACUGGCUCGCUAGAGUGUGUCAGAGGAUGGUGGAAUUCCCGGUGUAGCGGUGAAAUGCGUAGAGAUCGGGAGGAACAUCAGUGGCGAAGGCGGCCAUCUGGGACAACACUGACGCUGAGGCACGAAAGCGUGGGGAGCAAACAGGAUUAGAUACCCCGGUAGUCCCUGUCUCUAUACA
rnacentral:rRNA from 1 species